GGAAUUCCUUGUGGAGGUUUAGAAGAGCUUUUAGCAUAUGCUUGAAUGGAUCUUGGAUAACAUUGAUAUAUUUAGAUUGUCUCUUUGACUUUACAUAUCAUGUUAUCCAAGAAGCGAAGGACGAGUUUUCAUUUCAUAGUUUGUGUUUAAUUGAUGCCGCUUCGUUGUGGGAUUUGUUUGCUGUUAUGUUGAUGGUUAUUAUUAGUACGUACCCAUGUAAGGAGAUCUUCAAGUUGGCUGCUGCUAUAUUUAAUUAUUAAUGAAGCAG
rnacentral:misc_RNA from 1 species